GCUGGGGUAGCUCAGUUGGUCUUAGAGCAUCAGAUUGUGGAUCUGAGGGUCGGGAGUUCGAAUCUCCCCCCCAGUA
rnacentral:tRNA from 1 species